AUUCCUCUCCACAGCCCAUGCAUCUGUUAGGUGGCAGCUCCUCCUCUUGCUGCAGUUUCGUUGUCUCUGUUCACUAGCUCUGCUUGCUCCAAGACCCAGAAAUCAAUGACUGGCUACUUAAGAAAGUGUUCUUCCCAGCUUAGGAACUCUCCACGGCUGUUUGGCAGGCUCUUACUAUGCUUUGGCUGCUCUUGUGUAGCCCUGGUUUUAUAUUAUAGAUACGUCUUUUGUGUUACCUGGAUGUGCUGGCUACUGACAAGCAUCUCCCAUCAGUACUACAAAACUUGCUUUUGGC
rnacentral:lncRNA from 1 species